UAGUUGGUGGGGUAAAGGCCUACCAAGGCGACGAUCCAUAGCUGGUCUGAGAGGAUGAUCAGCCACAUUGGGACUGAGACACGGCCCAAACUCCUACGGGAGGCAGCAGUGGGGAAUAUUGGACAAUGGGCGCAAGCCUGAUCCAGCCAUGCCGCGUGUGUGAUGAAGGCCUUAGGGUUGUAAAGCACUUUCACCGGAGAAGAUAAUGACGGUAUCCGGAGAAGAAGCCCCGGCUAACUUCGUGCCAGCAGCCGCGGUAAUACGAAGGGGGCUAGCGUUGUUCGGAAUUACUGGGCGUAAAGCGCACGUAGGCGGAUCGAUCAGUCAGGGGUGAAAUCCCGCAGCUCAACUGCGGAACUGCCUUUGAUACUGUCGGUCUAGAGUAUGGAAGAGGUGAGUGGAAUUCCGAGUGUAGAGGUGAAAUUCGUAGAUAUUCGGAGGAACACCAGUGGCGAAGGCGGCUCACUGGUCCAUUACUGACGCUGAGGUGCGAGAGCGUGCGGAGCAAACAGGAUUAGAUACCCUGGUAGUCCACGCCGUAGACGAUGAAUGUUAGCCGUCGGGCAGUUUACUGUUCGGUGGCGCAGCUAACGCAUUAAACAUUCCGCCU
rnacentral:rRNA from 1 species